GUGAACGCUGGCGGUAGGCCUAACCCAUGCAAGUCGAACGGCAGCACAGUAAGAGCUUGCUCUUACGGGUGGCGAGUGGCGGACGGGUGAGGAAUACAUCGGAAUCUACUUUUUCGUGGGGGAUAACGUAGGGAAACAUACGCUAAUACCGCAUACGACCUACGGGUGAAAGCAGGGGAUCUUCGGACCUUGCGCGAUUGAAUGAGCCGAUGUCGGAUUAGCUAGUUGGCGGGGUAAAGGCCCACCAAGGCGACGAUCCGUAGCUGGUCUGAGAGGAUGAUCAGCCACACUGGAACUGAGACACGGUCCAGACUCCUACGGGAGGCAGCAGUGGGGAAUAUUGGACAAUGGGCGCAAGCCUGAUCCAGCCAUACCGCGUGGGUGAAGAAGGCCUUCGGGUUGUAAAGCCCUUUUGUUGGGAAAGAAAAGCAGCAGGUUAAUACCCCGCUGUUCUGACGGUACCCAAAGAAUAAGCACCGGCUAACUUCGUG
rnacentral:rRNA from 1 species